rnacentral:rRNA from 1 species
UACGAAGGGGGCUAGCGUUGCUCGGAAUCACUGGGCGUAAAGCGCGUGUAGGCGGCCCGGUAAGUCCGCUGUGAAAGUCCAGGGCUCAACCCUGGGAUGCCGGUGGAUACUGUCGGGCUCGAGUCCGGAAGAGGCGAGUGGAAUUCCUGGUGUAGCGGUGAAAUGCGCAGAUAUCAGGAGGAACACCAAUGGCGAAGGCAGCUCGCUGGGACGUGACUGACGCUGAGACGCGAAAGCGUGGGGAGCAAACAGG